CCUAGACACAUUUACCUGGGAGGAAGUCCCUUUGUACUCCAUGGAUCUUCUCCAUUGAGUGGAAAGGGACUUCCUCCCUGGU